GGGUCAAUUUAUUUCGAGAGGCAAAAGUACUUGAUUGAGUCAGAUGUUCUGUCUGACUCAAACUUUGCUAACCACUUUCCAUCAUCAAUGGACAAAAAAAAAUAAAAAAUCAAA